CCUACGGGUGGCAGCAGUGAGGAAUCUUGGUCAAUGGACGAGAGUCUGAACCAGCCACGUCGCGUGAAUGAUGACUGCCUUAUGCUCUGUAAACUUCUUUUAUAUGGGAGUAAAAUGUUCCACGUGUGGGAUUUUGUAUGUACCAUAAGAAUUAGGAUCGGCUCACUCCGUGCCAGCAGCCGAGGUACUACGGUGGAUCCGAGCGUUAUCCGGUUUUGUUGGGUUUAAAGGGAGCGUAGGUGGAUUGUUAAGUCAUAUGUGAAAGUUUGCGGAUCAACCGUAAAAGUGCAGUUGAAACUGGCGGUCUUGAGUACAGUAGAGGUGAGUGGAAGUCGAGGUGUAGCGGUGAAAUGCUUAGAUAUAACGAAGAACUCCGAUGGCGAAGGCAGUUCACUGGACUGCAACUGACACUGAGGCUCGAAAGUAUGGGUAUCGAACAGGAUUAGAUACCCUAGUAGUC
rnacentral:rRNA from 1 species